rnacentral:rRNA from 1 species
UAGGGAAUAUUGGGCAAUGGACGAAAGUCUGACCCAGCCAUGCCGCGUGCAGGAUGAAGGCCCUCUGGGUUGUAAACUGCUUUUGACAGGGAAGAAAUACACCAUGCGUGGUGGGCUGACGGUACCUGUAGAAUAAGCACCGGCUAACUCCGUGCCAGCAGCCGCGGUAAUACGGAGGGUGCAAGCGUUGUCCGGAUUUAUUGGGUUUAAAGGGUGCGUAGGCGGUUCUGUAAGUCAGUGGUGAAAGCUAGCAGCUUAACUGUUAAACUGCCAUUGAUACUGCAGAGCUUGAGUUCAGAUGAGGUAGGCGGAAUUUAUAGUGUAGCGGUGAAAUGCUUAGAUACUAUAAAGAACUCCGAUAGCGUAGGCAGCUUACUAAACUGAUACUGACGCUGAGGCACGAAAGUGUGGGGAUCAAACAGG